ensembl:lncRNA
CCGAAAUCUGCAUUCUGAUUCGGUCAGGUACAUUCCCGGUCAUAUAGGUACCAGUGCUAUAUUGGCACCGGGUCUCGGUACCCAGCCCUACUGGUGAUCUUCAAACAAACAAACAAAAAACUCUCAAACAGAUACUGGUGAUUUUUAAGCAAAAAAACCUAAAACAGGUACUGGUGAUCUUUAAACAAACAAACAAACAAAAAACUCAAACGGGUAUUGGUGAUCUUUAAACAAACAAAUAAACAAACAAACAAAAACUCAAACGGGUACUGGUGAUCUUUAAACAAACAAACAAACAAACAAACAAACAAACAAACAAACAAAAAACUCAAACAGGUACAAGUGAUCUUUAAACAAACAAACAAACAAACAAACAAAAAAACAAACAAACACUCAAACAGGUACAGGUGAUCUUUAAACAAACAAACAAACAACAAAAACUCAAACAGGUACAGGUGAUCUUUAAACAAACAAACAAACAACAAAAACUCAAACAGGUACAGGUGAUCUUUAAACAAACAAACAAACAACAAAAACUCAAACAGGUACAGGUGAUCUUUAAACAAACAAACAAACAACAAAAACUCAAACAG